UUAAGCGACUAAGCGUACACGGUGGAUGCCCUGGCAGUCAGAGGCGAUGAAGGACGUGCUAAUCUGCGAUAAGCGUCGGUAAGGUGAUAUGAACCGUUAUAACCGGCGAUUUCCGAAUGGGGAAACCCAGUGUGAUUCGUCACACUAUCAUUAACUGAAUCCAUAGGUUAAUGAGGCGAACCGGGGGAACUGAAACAUCUAAGUACCCCGAGGAAAAGAAAUCAACCGAGAUUCCCCCAGUAGCGGCGAGCGAACGGGGAGCAGCCCAGAGCCUGAAUCAGUGUGUGUGUUAGUGGAAGCGUCUGGAAAGGCGCGCGAUACAGGGUGACAGCCCCGUACACAAAAAUGCACAUGCUGUGAGCUCGAUGAGUAGGGCGGGACACGUGGUAUCCUGUCUGAAUAUGGGGGGACCAUCCUCCAAGGCUAAAUACUCCUGACUGACCGAUAGUGAACCAGUACCGUGAGGGAAAGGCGAAAAGAACCCCGGCGAGGGGAGUGAAAAAGAACCUGAAACCGUGUACGUACAAGCAGUGGGAGCACGCUUAGGCGUGUGACUGCGUACCUUUUGUAUAAUGGGUCAGCGACUUAUAUUCUGUAGCAAGGUUAACCGAAUAGGGGAGCCGAAGGGAAACCGAGUCUUAACUGGGCGUUAAGUUGCAGGGUAUAGACCCGAAACCCGGUGAUCUAGCCAUGGGCAGGUUGAAGGUUGGGUAACACUAACUGGAGGACCGAACCGACUAAUGUUGAAAAAUUAGCGGAUGACUUGUGGCUGGGGGUGAAAGGCCAAUCAAACCGGGAGAUAGCUGGUUCUCCCCGAAAGCUAUUUAGGUAGCGCCUCGUGAAUUCAUCUCCGGGGGUAGAGCACUGUUUCGGCAAGGGGGUCAUCCCGACUUACCAACCCGAUGCAAACUGCGAAUACCGGAGAAUGUUAUCACGGGAGACACACGGCGGGUGCUAACGUCCGUCGUGAAGAGGGAAACAACCCAGACCGCCAGCUAAGGUCCCAAAGUCAUGGUUAAGUGGGAAACGAUGUGGGAAGGCCCAGACAGCCAGGAUGUUGGCUUAGAAGCAGCCAUCAUUUAAAGAAAGCGUAAUAGCUCACUGGUCGAGUCGGCCUGCGCGGAAGAUGUAACGGGGCUAAACCAUGCACCGAAGCUGCGGCAGCGACACUAUGUGUUGUUGGGUAGGGGAGCGUUCUGUAAGCCUGUGAAGGUGUACUGUGAGGUAUGCUGGAGGUAUCAGAAGUGCGAAUGCUGACAUAAGUAACGAUAAAGCGGGUGAAAAGCCCGCUCGCCGGAAGACCAAGGGUUCCUGUCCAACGUUAAUCGGGGCAGGGUGAGUCGACCCCUAAGGCGAGGCCGAAAGGCGUAGUCGAUGGGAAACAGGUUAAUAUUCCUGUACUUGGUGUUACUGCGAAGGGGGGACGGAGAAGGCUAUGUUGGCCGGGCGACGGUUGUCCCGGUUUAAGCGUGUAGGCUGGUUUUCCAGGCAAAUCCGGAAAAUCAAGGCUGAGGCGUGAUGACGAGGCACUACGGUGCUGAAGCAACAAAUGCCCUGCUUCCAGGAAAAGCCUCUAAGCAUCAGGUAACAUCAAAUCGUACCCCAAACCGACACAGGUGGUCAGGUAGAGAAUACCAAGGCGCUUGAGAGAACUCGGGUGAAGGAACUAGGCAAAAUGGUGCCGUAACUUCGGGAGAAGGCACGCUGAUAUGUAGGUGAAGUCCCUCGCGGAUGGAGCUGAAAUCAGUCGAAGAUACCAGCUGGCUGCAACUGUUUAUUAAAAACACAGCACUGUGCAAACACGAAAGUGGACGUAUACGGUGUGACGCCUGCCCGGUGCCGGAAGGUUAAUUGAUGGGGUUAGCGCAAGCGAAGCUCUUGAUCGAAGCCCCGGUAAACGGCGGCCGUAACUAUAACGGUCCUAAGGUAGCGAAAUUCCUUGUCGGGUAAGUUCCGACCUGCACGAAUGGCGUAAUGAUGGCCAGGCUGUCUCCACCCGAGACUCAGUGAAAUUGAACUCGCUGUGAAGAUGCAGUGUACCCGCGGCAAGACGGAAAGACCCCGUGAACCUUUACUAUAGCUUGACACUGAACAUUGAGCCUUGAUGUGUAGGAUAGGUGGGAGGCUUUGAAGUGUGGACGCCAGUCUGCAUGGAGCCGGCCUUGAAAUACCACCCUUUAAUGUUUGAUGUUCUAACGUUGACCCGUGAUCCGGGUUGCGGACAGUGUCUGGUGGGUAGUUUGACUGGGGCGGUCUCCUCCUAAAGAGUAACGGAGGAGCACGAAGGUUGGCUAAUCCUGGUCGGACAUCAGGAGGUUAGUGCAAUGGCAUAAGCCAGCUUGACUGUGAGCGUGACGGCGCGAGCAGGUGCGAAAGCAGGUCAUAGUGAUCCGGUGGUUCUGAAUGGAAGGGCCAUCGCUCAACGGAUAAAAGGUACUCCGGGGAUAACAGGCUGAUACCGCCCAAGAGUUCAUAUCGACGGCGGUGUUUGGCACCUCGAUGUCGGCUCAUCACAUCCUGGGGCUGAAGUAGGUCCCAAGGGUAUGGCUGUUCGCCAUUUAAAGUGGUACGCGAGCUGGGUUUAGAACGUCGUGAGACAGUUCGGUCCCUAUCUGCCGUGGGCGCUGGAGAACUGAGGGGGGCUGCUCCUAGUACGAGAGGACCGGAGUGGACGCAUCACUGGUGUUCGGGUUGUCAUGCCAAUGGCACUGCCCGGUAGCUAAAUGCGGAAGAGAUAAGUGCUGAAAGCAUCUAAGCACGAAACUUGCCCCGAGAUGAGUUCUCCCUGACUCCUUGAGAGUCCUGAAGGAACGUUGAAGACGACGACGUUGAUAGGCCGGGUGUGUAAGCGCAGCGAUGCGUUGAGCUAACCGGUACUAAUGAACCGUGAGGCUUAACCUU
rnacentral:rRNA from 1 species